rnacentral:rRNA from 1 species
AGAGCGAACGCUGGCGGCAGGCCUAACACAUGCAAGUCGAGCGCCCGUAGCAAUACGGGAGCGGCAGACGGGAUAGUAACACGUGGGAACGCGCCCUUCGGUUCGGAAUAACUCAGGGAAACUUGAGCUAAUACCGAAUACGCCCUUACGGGGAAAGAUUUAUUGCCGAAGGAACGGCCCGCGUCCGAUUAGCUAGUUGGUGAGGUAAUGGCUCACCAAGGCUACGAUCGGUAGCUGGUCUGAGAGGAUGACCAGCAUCACUGGGACUGAGACACGGCCCAGACUCCUACGGGAGGCAGCAGUGGGGAAUAUUGGACAAUGGGCGCAAGCCUGAUCCAGCCAUGCCGCGUGGAUGAUGAAGGCCUUAGGGUUGUAAAGUCCUUUCGACGGGGAAGAUAAUGACGGUACCCGUAGAAGAAGCCCCGGCUAACUUCGUGCCAGCAGCCGC